rnacentral:rRNA from 1 species
AUGAGAGUCUUCAAAUUGCCUGCUUCUGUGUGCGAUGAUUUAACACGCAUGAUGAGACAAUAUUGGUGGGGAGUUGAUAAAGGAAAGAGAAAAAUGGCUUGACUCAGUUGGGAUAAAAUGCGCCUUCCAAAAUUGACGGGUGGCAUGGGGUUCAGUCGAUAUGUGCGCUUUCAACAAGCCCUGCUAGCUAAACAGGCGUGGCGGUUGAUUGAAACCCCAGAUAGUUUGUGUGCUCGCCUACUUCGAGCAAAAUAUUAUCCAAACGGAAAUAUUCUGGAUACAAUGUUUUCUGGCUGUUCUUCGGCUGUCUGGAAAGGCAUUGAGUAUGGCCUUCAGCUAGUGAAAAAAGGAAUUAUUUGGAGAAUUGGUGAUGGCUCUAUGGUAUGUACGUGGCGGGACCCUUGGAUACCUAGGGGUAACGACUUACGACUGAUCAGUCCGAAAAGAAACCGCUGGUUUAAUCUAGUUUCAGAUUUCCUUUUUGAUAAUGGUGGAUGGAAUCUGGAGCGUCUCCGGUAGCAUUUCUGGGACAUGGAUGUGCAACAAAAUUUGAGGAUACGUACGUCGUCGAGGAAUCGUGUUGAUUUCCUUGCUUGGUACCCAGAGAAAUCCGGACGUUUUACUAUUAAAAGUGCCUAUCGUCUCGCAACAAAAAACCACGAUGAUUCGUUUGCGGGUGGGGCAUCUAGUAUACAUCCAGAGGAAGAACGAUCUAUAUGGAAUUUUAUAUGGCGAGCUAAAGUCCCUCUGAAGAUGAGGAUAACUGCAUGGAAGGCCGAGCCAGGAGCUCUUGCAAUGGAACAAAACAGGUUGUUUCGCCAUUUGGGCACUACAGAUCGUUGCCGGGUGUGUGGGGCUCCUUUCACGCGCUGGUUGCAUGCACUCAGGCACGUCUGGUUUGGCAAAGCAUGCGUAGAAUAUGGCCGCUGCCUGGGAUGA